rnacentral:rRNA from 1 species
GAUGAACGCUGGCGGCGUGCCUAAUACAUGCAAGUCGAGCGAACAGACGAGGAGCUUGCUCCUCUGACGUUAGCGGCGGACGGGUGAGUAACACGUGGAUAACCUACCUAUAAGACUGGGAUAACUUCGGGAAACCGGAGCUAAUACCGGAUAAUAUAUUGAACCGCAUGGUUCAAUAGUGAAAUACGGUUUUGCUGUCACUUAUAGAUGGAUCCGCGCCGCAUUAGCUAGUUGGUAAGGUAACGGCUUACCAAGGCAACGAUGCGUAGCCGACCUGAGAGGGUGAUCGGCCACACUGGAACUGAGACACGGUCCAGACUCCUACGGGAGGAAGCAGUAGGGAAUAUUACGCAAUGGGCGAAAGCAUGACGGAGCAACGCCGCGUGAGUGAUGAAGGUCUUCGGAUCGUAAAACUCUGUUAUUAGGGAAGAACAAAUGUGUAAGUAACUAUGCACGUCUUGACGGUACCUAAUCAGAAAGCCACGGCUAACUACGUG